UGAGGAAUAUUGGUCAAUGGACGCAAGUCUGAACCAGCCAAGUAGCGUGCAGGAUGACGGCCCUAUGGGUUGUAAACUGCUUUUAUAUGGGGCUAAAGUGGGGAACGUGUUCCCUUUUGCAGGUACCAUAUGAAUAAGGACCGGCUAAUUCCGUGCCAGCAGCCGCGGUAAUACGGAAGGUUCGGGCGUUAUCCGGAUUUAUUGGGUUUAAAGGGAGCGUAGGCCGUUUGGUAAGCGUGUUGUGAAAUGUAGGAGCUCAACUUCUAGAUUGCAGCGCGAACUGUCAGACUUGAGUGCGCACAACGUAGGCGGAAUUCAUGGUGUAGCGGUGAAAUGCUUAGAUAUCAUGAAGAACUCCGAUUGCGAAGGCAGCUUACGGGAGCGCAACUGACGCUGAAGCUCGAAGGUGCGGGUAUCGAACAGG
rnacentral:rRNA from 1 species